CAGGGGACCAGACCAUCAGAAGCAGCUGGCUGGACUCUGCAAGGCUCCAGUGCCCUGAGGAAAUCUGAGACUGUCUUCCAGGGGGACGGAAGCACACUCACUGGCUAAGAUUCUCCGGUCCUCCCCUUUGAGUCAGAGAGAGAAAUUUCCCCAGGAGGCAGGCUGCCACUUUCUGACCAUUGCAAG